AGUGAACGCUGGCGGUAGGCCUAACACAUGCAAGUCGAACGGCAGCACAUUAAGAGCUUGCUCUUACGGGUGGCGAGUGGCGGACGGGUGAGGAAUACAUCGGAAUCUACUUUUUCGUGGGGGAUAACGUAGGGAAACUUACGCUAAUACCGCAUACGACCUACGGUUGAAAGCAGGGGAUCUUCGGACCUUGCGCGAUUGAAUGAGCCGAUGUCGGAUUAGCUAGUUGGCGGGGUAAAGGCCCACCAAGGCGACGAUCCGUAGCUGGUCUGAGAGGAUGAUCAGCCACACUGGAACUGAGACACGGUCCAGACUCCUACGGGAGGCAGCAGUGGGGAAUAUUGGACAAUGGGCGCAAGCCUGAUCCAGCCAUACCGCGUGGGUGAAGAAGGCCUUCGGGUUGUAAAGCCCUUUUGUUGGGAAAGAAAAGCAGCAGGUUAAUACCCCGCUGUUCUGACGGUACCCAAAGAAUAAGCACCGGCUAACUUCGUG
rnacentral:rRNA from 1 species